CCUACGGGAGGCUGCAGUGAGGAAUAUUGGUCAAUGGGCGUAAGCCUGAACCAGCCAAGUCGCGUGAGGGAUGAAGGUUCUAUGGAUCGUAAACCUCUUUUAUAAGGGAAUAAAGUGUGGGACGUGUCCUAUUUUGUAUGUAACUUAUGAAUAAGGCACGGCUAACUCCGUGCCAGCAGCAGCGGUAAUACGGAGGAUCCGGGCGUUAUGCGGAUUUAUUGGGUUUAGAGGGUGCGUAGGCGGCCUUUUAAGUCAGCGGUGAAAGUCCGUGGCUCAACCAUAGAAUUGCCGUUGAAACUGGAGGGCUUGAGUAUGUUUGAGGCAGGCGGAAUGCGUGGUGUAGCGGUGAAAUGCUUAGAUAUCACGCAGAACCCCGAUUGCGAAGGCAGCCUGCCAGGCCAUGACUGACGCUGAUGCACGAAGGCGUGGGGAUCAAACAGGAUUAGAUACCCUGGUAGUC
rnacentral:rRNA from 1 species